AGCGGGACGAGGAAGACGCGGAGACCUCACUGCUCCGUGUGUGUGAAAACUGCAAAUAAAGACCUAUUGUAUUGCAACCAACCCUGCCGUGUCGUGCUGUCUCUGCGCCCCGAGAACCUACAUCCGUGACAUACAUAUUUUAGUAAAAGCUGGGAGAAGUUUGGUCUGUCUGCAAAAAAUGAAGAUCCUUGGCUCUACUACGAUGGUAUGACUGAUGAGGAAAUUCUAGAAUGUACUGUGGCCUUGAAGAAGAAGAGCUACAAAAGCAUCAGGAGCAGGUGAGGCACCAAGCAGCCAGCAUACCUCUAUUCCAGACAACCAUGCACAAGCUGAGAGGAACAAGAUCCAAGAUCUGAAAAAAAAGCAUCUGACAACCAGCCACACAUCAGAGACUGAGAUCCAGAGAAAUAGCAGAAAUAGAAGAAUGUUGGAAUGAAAUAGAGGAAUCUUGGCCUCCAUGAGAAAAUACAUAAAACCAUACAGGAGACAGACAAUGGUAGAGAGAGGGGCUCGGAAAAGAGGCUGCAGGACCUACCAGGACAACGGUGAAGGAGAAAGCUGCCAGGGAUCAGGGGACCCACAGUAACCCAACAACAGAAGAUUACCAAUGAAGUAAAAACACAUAGUUGUGCAAUCAUUGUAUAACUCCUUUUCAUUAUAGUCUGGAGGUGAUUGCGAUAAUGUUGUAUUAUUGCUGCUGUUCCUCUUCCUCUUCUCCUUUUACAAAUUAUUAUUAUUGUCUCUUUUUGAAGGUUAUUCUUUU